rnacentral:rRNA from 1 species
GACGAACGCUGGCGGCGUGCUUAACACAUGCAAGUCGAACGGAAAGGCCCUGCUUUUGUGGGGUGCUCGAGUGGCGAACGGGUGAGUAACACGUGAGUAACCUGCCCUUGACUUUGGGAUAACUUCAGGAAACUGGGGCUAAUACCGGAUAGGAGCUCCUGCUGCAUGGUGGGGGUUGGAAAGUUUCGGCGGUUGGGGAUGGACUCGCGGCUUAUCAGCUUGUUGGUGGGGUAGUGGCUUACCAAGGCUUUGACGGGUAGCCGGCCUGAGAGGGUGACCGGCAACAUUGGGACUGAGGUACGGCCCAGACUCCUACGGGAGGCAGCAGUGGGGAAUAUUGCGCAAUGGGCGGAAGCCUGAUGCAGCAACGCCGCGUGCGGGAUGACGGCCUUCGGGUUGUAAACCGCUUUCGCCUGUGACGAAGCGUGGGUGACGGUAAUGGGUAAAGAAGCACCGGCUAACUACGUG